rnacentral:rRNA from 1 species
UAUAAGAUUUAACCUGCCCGCUGAAUAAUUGAAUGGCCGCGGUAUUUUGACCGUGCAAAGGUAGCAUAAUAAUUAGUUUUUUGAUUGAAAGCUGGAAUGAAUGGUUGGACGAGAAAAUUACUGUCUCUGAUUAAAUUUUUAAUAAAACUUUAUUUUUAAGUUAAAAAGCUUAAAUGUUGUUAAAAGACGAGAAGACCCUAUAGAGUUUAAUAAUUUUUUAAUAAUAUAAUUUUAGGUAUUUAAAUUUUGUUUUUAUGAAAUUAUUUUAUUGGGGUGAUAAAAAGAUUAAAUUAACUCUUUUUUUAUUUUCACAUUUAUAAAUGAUUAUUUGAUCCAAUUUUUUUGAUUAUAAGAAUAAAUUACCUUAGGGAUAACAGCGUAAUCUUUUUAGAGAGUUCUUAUCGAAAUAAGGGAUUGCGACCUCGAUGUUGGAUUAAAGUUAAUUUUUGGUGUAGAAGCUUGAAAAUUGAGUCUGUUCGACUUUUAAAACUUUACAUGAUCUGAGUUUAAACCGGUGUGAGCCAGGUUGGUUUCUAUCUUUAUUUAAUAAAAAUAUCUUAGUACGAAAGGACCAA